rnacentral:rRNA from 1 species
CCUACGGGAGGCAGCAGUGGGGAAUAUUGCACAAUGGGGGAAACCCUGAUGCAGCGACGCCGCGUGAGUGAAGAAGUAAUUCGUUAUGUAAAGCUCUAUCAGCAGGGAAGAAAAUGACGGUACCUGAGUAAGAAGCCCCGGCUAACUACGUGCCAGCAGCCGAGGUAAUACGAAGGGGGCAAGCGUUAUCCGGAUUUACUGGGUGUAAUGGGAGCGUAGACGGCGGUGCAAGUCUGGAGUGGAAGGCGGGGGCACAACCCCCGGACUGCUCUGGAAACUGUACGGAUGGAGUGCAGGAGAGGUGAGUGGAAUUGCUAGUGUAGCGGAGAAAUGCGUAGAUAUUAGGAGGAACACCAGUGGCGAAGGCGGGUUACUGGACUGUAACUGACGUGGAGGCUCGAAAGCGUGGGGAGCAAACAGGAUUAGAUACCCGAGUAGUC